rnacentral:rRNA from 1 species
AGAGUUUGAUCCUGGCUCAGGACGAACGCUGGCGGCGUGCCUAACACAUGCAAGUCGAACGGGGUUGAGUGCUUCGGUAUUCAACCUAGUGGCGAACGGGUGAGUAACGCGUGAAGAACCUGCCUUUCAGUGGGGGACAACAGUUGGAAACGACUGCUAAUACCGCAUGACGCUUCUUGGGGGCAUCCCUGAGAAGUCAAAGCUUUAUGUGCUGAAAGAUGGCUUCGCGUCUGAUUAGCUAGAUGGCGGGGUAACGGCCCACCGUGCCCGCGAUGGGUAGCCGGGUUGAGAGACCGAUCGGCCACAUUGGGACUGAGAUACGGCCCAGACUCCUACGGGAGGCAGCAGUGGGGAAUUUUGCGCAAUGGGGGAAACCCUGACGCAGCAACGCCGCGUGCGGGACGAAGGCCUUCGGGUUGUAAACCGCUUUCAGCAGGGAAUAUAGUGAAGGUACCUGCAGAAGAAGCUCCGGCUAACUACGUGCCAGCAGCCGCGGUAAUACGUAGGGAGCGAGCGUUAUCCGGAUUCAUUGGGCGUAAAGCGCGCGUAGGCGGCCCGUCAAGCGGGGUUUCAAAUCCAGGGGCUCAACCUCUGGCCGGACCCCGAACUGGCGGGCUCGAGUGCGGUAGAGGAAGGUGGAAUUCCCAGUGUAGCGGUGAAAUGCGCAGAUAUUGGGAAGAACACCGAUGGCGAAGGCAGCCUUCUGGGCCGCCACUGACGCUGAGGCGCGAAAGCUAGGGGAGCGAACAGGAUUAGAUACCCUGGUAGUCCUAGCCGUAAACGAUGGGCACUAGGUGUGGGGGAGCAUCUCCUCCGUGCCGCAGCCAACGCAUUAAGUGCCCCGCCUGGGGAGUACGGC